AAAUCAACGCUGGCGGCGUGCCUAAACACAUGCAAGUCGAACGAGAAAGUGGAGCAAUCCAUGAGUAAAGUGGCGCACGGGUGAGUAACACGUGACUAACCUACCCUUGAGUGGGGGAUAACCUCGGGAAACCUUGGCUAAUACCGCAUAACACCUACGGGUCAAAGGAGCAAUUCGCUUAAGGAGGGGGUCGCGGCAGAUUAGUUAGUUGGUAGGGGUAAUGGCCUACCCAAGACAGUGAUCUGUAUCCGGCCUGAGAGGGCGCACGGACACACUGGAACUGAAACACGGUCCAGACUCCUACGGGAGGCAGCAGUGGGGAAUUUUGCGCAAUGGGGGAAACCCUGACGCAGCAACGCCGCGUGGAGGAUGAAGUCCCUUGGGACGUAAACUCCUUUCGACCGGGACGAUUAUGACGGUACCGGAAGAAGAAGCCCCGGCUAACUUCGUGCCAGCAGCCGCGGUAA
rnacentral:rRNA from 1 species